rnacentral:tRNA from 1 species
CCGCCCGUAGCUCAGCUGGAUAGAGCGCUGCCCUCCGGAGGCAGAGGUCAGAGGUUCGACUCCUCUCGGGCGGGCCA